rnacentral:rRNA from 1 species
AUUGAACGCUGGCGGCAGGCUUAACACAUGCAAGUCGAGCGGUAGCACAGGGGAGCUUGCUCACUGGGUGACGAGCGGCGGACGGGUGAGGAAUGUCUGGGCAACUGCCUGAUGGAGGGGGAUAACUACUGGAAACGGUAGCUAAUACCGCAUAACGUCGCAAGACCAAAGAGGGGGACCUUCGGGCCUCUUGCCAUCAGAUGUGCCCAGAUGGGAUUAGCUAGUAGGUGGGGUAAUGGCUCACCUAGGCGACGAUCCCUAGCUGGUCUGAGAGGAUGACCAGCCACACUGGAACUGAGACACGGUCCAGACUCCUACGGGAGGCAGCAGUGGGGAAUAUUGCACAAUGGGCGCAAGCCUGAUGCAGCCAUGCCGCGUGUGUGAAGAAGGCCUUCGGGUUGUAAAGCACUUUCAGCGAGGAGGAAGGUGGUGAGCUUAAUACGUUCAUCAAUUGACGUUACUCGCAGAAGAAGCACCGGCUAACUCCGUG